UACGUAGGAGGCGAGCGUUGUCCGGAUUUAUUGGGCGUAAAGCGCGCGCAGGUGGUUGGAUAAGUUGGGUGUGAAAGACCCUGGCUCAACUAGGGGAGGCCACUCAAAACUAUCCAGCUUGAGGGCAGCAGAGGAAAGUGGAAUUCCCGGUGUAGUGGUGAAAUGCGUAGAUAUCGGGAGGAACACCAGUGGCGAAGGCGGCUUUCUGGGCUGUCGCUGACGCUGAGGCGCGAAGGCGUGGGGAG
rnacentral:rRNA from 1 species